CUCUGAUCUUUCCUCAGGAUGGGAUUUGUGUAGUGUUUUUCUAUUUUUUAUUUUGCUGUGUUUUAUUAAAGUAUAUCUAUUUUUGUAGAACUUCAAAUGUUCAUUCCCUUUAUUCUGGCCUGCUGUGCUUUGCUGUUUGUGUUGCUACUGAAUCACAUUCACACCUCUCUUAAGGGCGUAGACUUCUCUUGGCCACUGUUACCAAAGAAAGCGAAGGAGGUAUAUCUCUUAACUGUGCCUGAUUUUACUUAAUGAUUGUGGUCGCUCUUGCAUUGUAGAAGUAUGAGUGCUGAGUGGGCAUUUUUGUCUCUAUUCAUCCUAGAACUCUUGUAGAGCAGUCAAACUCUUCACAGUGGGUUCCGUGAAGUUCAGAGGUCUUAACACAGUGUGUACACCCAGCCCCUGCAGGACACAUUCACUCUGUGACUGUGAACUGUUACCAGCUCCUCUGUCUGCUAGGAAGGCCCUUGCCCUCGUGGGAAGGUGGCCAUCUGUUUCUGUCUAAGAGUGUUACAGUCCCCUGUCAGCAGUUUUGACGUGUCCACAAGGCCAAUGAAGAUUGGCCACCACCACACCCUUCUCCAACAACUGUCUUGGUCCCUCUCUGGGGCUCCCUGUGCGACUGUACACUGGGGUAGACUGUUCUCAGUGCACACAGACUGCGUUGGGCCACCUAGUACGAAAGGCCACAAAGGGUGCCAGGUGUCUGCAGUGAUGUCGGUUAUCCACCUCACCCAUCUUGAAAUAUGCACCAAGGAGUCUAACACAUGCACGAGUCAGAGGAGUAAACUAAACCAUGUGGCUAAAUGAAGGUGAGGGAGGACGCAUGGUGGCUGAGAAGGCAUCCUGAUAGGACCCAAAAGAUGGUGAACUAUGCCUGAGCAGGGCAAAGAAAGAGGAAACUCUGGUGUAGGUCCUUAGCAGUAAUGAUGUGCAAAUCGGUCCUCCGAUCUGUGUAUAUGGACAAAAGACUAAUAGAGUAUAGUUUCCUCUGGAAAGCUGGCCUUUGAAAACUACAGUUUUAUCUGGUAAAGCAAAUGAUCAAAGGUCUUGGGGCCAAAACUAUCUGAACCUACUCUUAAACUUUAAUUGGCUCAGUGGUCUGGAGCCUGGCAUUGAAUGUGAGUGUCAAGUGGGGCACAUUUGGUAAGCAUAACUGGCACUACAGGAUAAACCAAAUGGCAGGUUAAGGCACCCGAUGCUGAUACUCUUGAGACCCCAGAAAAGGUAUUGUUUUAUAUAGACAGCAGGAUGGUGUCAAUGUAGGUAUCCAUUAAGGAGGGUGUAACAACUCACCUGCCGAAUUAACCAGCCCUGAAAAUGGAUGGCGCUGGAGCAUCGGGCUUAUACCCGGCCAACACUGGCAGUGAUAACGGCAGUGGCUAAGCCACGAUGAGUAGGAGGACUGCUGCAGUGCACAUGGAUGCCAGGGCAAGGGGUGGAGUCACGCAAGUGCAGAUCUGAGUGGUAGCAACAUGGCAAAGUGGAAAAGGUUUCCACUUGAACAGCAGUUGAACAGUCUGGCUUAAGAGAUGGGCAAGUGCCGUUCGGAGGGACAGGGAGUGUCCUCCUUUGCAGUCAUAUGAUUGAAAGGGAGUUGAUUCAGAUCCCCAAACCUAGAGUCACGCAGAUGAGCGCUCUUGCAGUGUCCACUGCGGUAAUGCAUACAUUCUAGAGAAGCCUGCGGGGGUUCCCGGCGGAGCUUGCUUUUCUUUGUAAAUGGCAAGAUACCUUGGAAUGGGUUUACCCCAAGAGAGGUGCCAAAGCCAUGGAAAGCAAUGUGAUUCUGGUGGUGUUCGCUAACCUCUUGCUGGUCCUUGAAGAUCUGGGGGGAUGCUGGGCUAUACCCAUAUCCGCAGCAGUUCUCCAAGGUGGCUUGUUGGAAUAAUGUAGGUAGGUAAAUAAAGUUGGCAAGUCAGAUCAGUAACUAAGGGUAAUUAUUGGUAGUUCUAAGGGCUUCAUUGGGUGGGAUGCGGUGCGAAGCAGGGCUGGGAAUGCAAUGCAUGUGGAUGAGGUGUCUCCUACCUGUGCUUUUAAACACAUUGUGUAUAGGCACUAAAUAAAUAAACUAUCAUAUCAUAUCAUACCUGGGGCGGUACCAACUCUGGGCACGAGCCAGGCCCUUCUUGUGGUUCACCCCUGCUGCCAUGGUUGUCUCUCUCUGUUCUCCACCUGGGAUUCUGGGCCAGCAUUCCUCCACGGCUGAUGCCUGGCAGCAGACCUAAAACUGGUGCAGACUAGUUAAAUCCAACUGUUUGAUUAAAACAGAGCAUUGACAAAGUCUGCAGCAGGGUUUGACACUAUGUCGUCUAUUCCCAGUGCUCUGAAUGUCAAUGUGAAGAAAUUCACUGAAGUGUGGGUAAAUGGUGGGAGUAACUAUGACUCUUUUAAGGUAGUCAAAUGCAUCUUCAUCUAAUUAGUGACCUGCAUGAAUGGAUGAACGAAAGUCCCACUGUUCCUACCUCCUAUCUAGCGAAACCAUGGGCAAGAGAACAAGCUUUGAAGGAUCAGCUAGAAAAGGAGACCCUCCUGAGUUUGACGCUAGUCUGGCACUAUGAACAUACAUGAGAGGUGUAGGAUCAGUGGGAGACCCUCGGCCCACCAGUGAAAUACCACUACUCCCAUCAUUCUUUCACGCACCCAUUGAGACAGGGGGGCGAGGGCCCUCGCUUCUGGCACCAAGCUCUCUGCACCUGAUGGGCUCAGCCCACUCAGGGGACAGUGGCAGGUGGGGAGUUUGGCUGGUGCAAUACACUUGUGAAACGAAAUUGUAAGUGUCCUAAGGCGAACUCAGGGAGGUCAGAAACCUCCCAUGGAGCAGAAGGGCAAAUGCUCGCGUGAUUUCAAUUUUCAGUAUGAAAAAACACCAUGAAGCGUGGCCUCACGAUACUUCUGACUUUUGGGUUUCGAGCAAGAGGUGUCAGAAAAGUUACUACUGGGAUAACUGGAUUGUGGUAGCCAAACGGUCAGAGAGAUGUCACCUUUUGCUCCUUCAAUGUCAGCUCUGCCUAUCAUUAUGAAGCAGAAUUCACCAAGUGUUGGAUUGUGCGCCCAGUAAUUUGGAAUGUGAGUUGGGUUUAGACCGUCGUGAGACAGAUUUGCUUUACCCUACUGAUGAUGUGUUGUUGCAAUAGCAAUCCUGCUCACUAUUACAGGAAUUGCAGAAUCAGGUAUUUGGUGUUCGUGCUUGGCUUUAAGUCAGAAUCCUCUCUAAACGUAAUGAUAACGGAGCUUUGUGGUGCCUGGAUUGGACCAUGAAAGUUGGCCUUGUGGUCGGGGAAUAGAGCAGCUCACUUCUGAACUUGAGCGUAAACAGAACGGGGCCACCUCUCUCAUCGUAGUGCAGCACAUGUUCAUGGGGAACCUGGUUCUAAAUCAUUCAUAGGAGACUUGAUUGUGGAUCAGGGUUUUUUUAAGUAGCAUAACAGCCAGUUUGCUGUUAUCGAUUCAAAGUCAUCUCC
rnacentral:rRNA from 1 species